AGCUCCAAUAGCGUAUCUUAAUGUUGUUGCAGUUAAAAAGCUCGUAUCGAAUUUCUGGCCGGGAGAAGCCGAAUACACUGUGCUUAUCCUAGGUCAUCCGCUCAAGAGGUUAUUCGGGCAUUCACUUGACCCUUUAAUGGAUUGGGCAUUUUACUUUGAAGAAAUUAGAGUGUUUCAGGCAGGCCUUCGCUUGAAUACACCAGCAUGGAAUAAUGGAAUAGGACUAACUUAUUUCUUGGUUCGUAAGUUUGGUAAUGAUUAAUAGGGACAGUUGGGGGCAUUUG
rnacentral:rRNA from 1 species